rnacentral:misc_RNA from 1 species
GAUGAAGAACGUAGCGAAAUGCGAUACGUAAUGUGAAUUGCAGAAUUCAGUGAAUCAUCGAAUCUUUGAACGCAUAUUGCGCUCUCUGGUAUUCCGGAGAGCAUGCUUGUUUGAGUAUCAGUAAACACCUCAACUCCCUUUUCUUUUUUGAAAUUGGAGCUGGACUUGAGUGAUCCCAACGCUUUCUUCCAAGAAAGUGGCGGGUUGCUUGAAAUGCAGGUGCAGCUGAACUUUUCUCUGAGCUAUAAGCAUAUCUAUUUAGUCUGCCUAAAAAACAGAUUAUUACCUUUGCUGCAGCUAACAUAAAGGAGACUAGUUCUUGUGCUGACUGAUGCAGGAUUCACAGAGACAGCUUCGGCUGACUUUGUAAACUCGAUCUCAAGUCAAGUAAGACUACCCGCUGAACUUAAGCAUAUCAAUAAGCGGAGGA